rnacentral:rRNA from 1 species
ACAGCAGUCGCCACGGUAAUACGUAGGGUGCAAGCGUUAAUCGGAAUUACUGGGCGUAAAGCGUGCGCAGGCGGUUUGUUAAGACAGACGUGAAAUCCCCGGGCUCAACCUGGGAACUGCAUUUGUGACUGGCAAGCUAGAGUGUGGCAGAGGGGGGUGGAAUUCCGCGUGUAGCAGUGAAAUGCGUAGAUAUGCGGAGGAACACCGAUGGCGAGGGCAGCCCCCUGGGCCAACACUGACGCUCAUGCGCGAAAGCGUGGGGAGCAAGCAGGAUUAGAUACCCCGGUAGUCCCUGUCUCUUAUAC